rnacentral:lncRNA from 1 species
AUGUCAGUUUAUAUUCCAAACAUGUAACCCAAGAAUUUUUCAUUUUUGAACUUCGUUACAGGUUUAGUCAAAACAUCUGCAGCCAUGUCUGCCGUUGGACAAUAUUCAAUACUUAUUUUACCAUCACUGAGUGCAGAUCGAAUGAAAUGAUAUCUGAUGUCGACAUGUUUACAUCUCUGACGACAUACUGGGUUCUUUGACAGAGCAAUUGCACCUUGGUUAUCUUCAAAGAUUGUUACUGGUGUAUAUUGGCACUCACUAUCCAUCUCGACCAAUAACUGUACAAGGUACAAACUUUCUUGUGUAGUAGCAGCCAGUGCCAUGUACUCUGCUUCACAUGUAGAUAAAGCUACUGUUGGCUGCUUCUUAGACCUCCAUGAAAUGACAGGUCCACAUUUAGUUAAACUAAAACAAUACCCUGUUAUGCUUCGUCUGUCACUUUGAUCUGCUGCCCAAUCAGCAUCACUAUAUGCUACGAGGUUGAGUUUUUCCACCCCCCUUUUUGUAACACAACUCCUGAUUCAUUGUUCCCUUCAAGUACCUCAACACAUGUUUAGCUGUUAUCCAGUGUUGCUCUUUUGGUUCUGAUAGGUAUUGUGACAGCUUGCUGACAAUCCAACUGAUAUCCGGUCUUGUACAUGUCAUCACAUAUAUCAAGCUGCCUAUCACUUCACGAUACCUUUUUGAAUCAAUAAGUUCACCAUCACCAUCAAAGUUUAGUUUUUGUUCACAUGGUGUUGACCUUGUCUUACAGUCUGACAUACCAAACCUUUCCAGUAUCUUUGUUAUGUACCUUGUUUGGUUCAUCGUUAUUUUCCCUUCACUUUGUGUAAAAUCAAUGCCUAGGAAAUGUCCAAGCCUCCCAAGAUCUUUCAUCUUAAAUUUUUCACUUAACAUUUCUUUUACACUUGUGAGUGAGUCACUAUCACUAGCAGCGAUAAUUAGAUCAUCGACCCAAAUUAUCAAAAUGAUCCUUUCUGUUGCAGUUUGUUUGUUAUAAACACAGUGAUCAGCUGGGUUCUGUGUAAAACCAUUUUCACUAAGGUGAUCAUGCAACAUUUUGUUCCAGUUCCUUCCUGACUGUUUCAGACCGUACAAUGACUUGUUCAGUUUACAGACUAGUUGCUCACCUGUAUCUGACCUGACUUCGAAACCCUCUGGUUGCUCCAUGUACACUUCACAGUCAAUAGGAGCAUGUAGAUAUGCUGUUUUGACAUCCAUCUGAUGUAACUCUAAGUCAUACUGAGCUGCUAGCUGCAUCAAACAGCGUACUGAUGUCAUAUUUGCAGUUGGAGAAAAAGUCUCCUUAUAGUCUAUUCCUGCCACUUGACUAUACCCCUUUGCAACAUAUCUUGUCUUGUAUGUCUCAGUCUCAUCUGAAUUGUUUUUGACCGCAUAGACCCACCUGCCCCCCACUGCAUUUUUACCCUCUGGCAGUGUGGUUAAUGUGAAUGUAUCAUUUUCCCUAAGGGAAUCCAUCUCCUCCUUCAUAGCAGUAGCCCAAAUCUCUGAUUUUGGUGAAAUCAUUGCUUCUUUGAAGGUUUGUGGUGCAUUGCACAUUACUCUGUAGCAGUAGUCAACACUAGGUGGUAUCUGGUCAUCACAUUUCACUUUACACUCAUAGUCUUUUAAGUACUGGGGUUUCUUCCUCGCUCUGUCUGGAUAGCGUGGACUCUGACCAUCUGAAGUCUCAAUUUGCACAUCUUGUGUCUCUUCUGAGUUUUGAUCUGCCAUCUUGGCUUUCGGCAUGGGGUUUUCAAAUCUCUCCCCAUGAAGAUCAUCACUGUUUUUCAAAUCUGUCUGAGUUUGGUGUUCGACUACACCUUUUGUAACACACUUGACUAAUCUGUUUUUAAGAACUUUCCCAGUGUUUGGGUAGUAGACUAGGUAUGCUGGACUAUUUUUAUCAUACCCGACAAAAAUACCCUUUUCACAUCUUGAGUCUAACUUUUUCUUGUUCUGUCUAUAUGCAUAGCAAACAGAUCCAAAUUCUUUCAUCUUUGAAAGAUCAGGCUUUCUCCCAGUAAACAUGUAGUGUGGAGUCUGUCCUACACGCUUAUUGUAACACCUAUUGCGAAUUACUGCAGCAGUCAUUACAGCAUAUGUCCACAAGUUCUUUGGUAGGUUGC